AUUGAACGCUGGCGGCAUGCCUUACACAUGCAAGUCGAACGGUAACAGGUCUUCGGAUGCUGACGAGUGGCGCACGGGUGAGUAAUACAUCGGAACGUGCCCAGACGUGGGGGAUAACGAGGCGAAAGCUUUGCUAAUACCGCAUACGAUCUAAGGAUGAAAGCCGGGGACCGCAAGGCCUUGCGCGUUUGGAGCGGCCGAUGGCAGAUUAGGUAGUUGGUGGGAUAAAAGCUUACCAAGCCGACGAUCUGUAGCUGGUCUGAGAGGACGACCAGCCACACUGGGACUGAGACACGGCCCAGACUCCUACGGGAGGCAGCAGUGGGGAAUUUUGGACAAUGGGCGAAAGCCUGAUCCAGCAAUGCCGCGUGCAGGAUGAAGGCCUUCGGGUUGUAAACUGCUUUUGUACGGAACGAAAAGGCUCUGGCUAAUACCUGGGGCACAUGACGGUACCGUAAGAAUAAGCACCGGCUAACUACGUG
rnacentral:rRNA from 1 species